AUUGUUACUCUUUUCGGUAGCUCUUCGUAGUUUCUACCUCCUUUCUUCUCUCUAUUCCCGCCACUUUUCUGCUAAUAGUGGAGAAGGAGAUGACUGAGGAGAAAUCAGAGCAGCUUUGUUUGAAGAAUAAGCAAAUCGAUGCUGCUUCUAGUUCUUCUGUAUCAGAUGGAAAUGGCAGUGCUAUUCCCUCAUCAUCAAGGAAAACGGGAUCAGCAUUGCCGUGUAAUAGGAGGACCACUGGUCCUGUUAGACGGGUAAAGGAUGGUUGGACGGAAAAGGAGG
rnacentral:sRNA from 1 species